UACGUAGGGAGCGAGCGUUGUCCGGAAUUACUGGGUGUAAAGGGAGCGUAGGCGGGACUGCAAGUUGGGUGUCAAAUCUACCGGCUCAACCGGUAGCCGCACUCAAAACUGCAGUUCUUGAGUGAAGUAGAGGCAGGCGGAAUUCCUAGUGUAGCGGUGAGAUGCGUAGAUAUUAGGAGGAACACCAGUGGCGAAGGCGGCCUGCUGGGCUUUUACUGACGCUGAGGCUCGAAAGUGUGGGGAGCAAACAGG
rnacentral:rRNA from 1 species